CGAGAAACAAACAUCACAGUGGCGACUGGACUAGCUGAUCACAAUCAUCUGUGGGGAGAAACAAGAACAGGUGGAUCUGACUCUAACUCCAACCUUCACCUUCAGAAACCUGAGAAGAAGCCCUCUAUGGGACAGGAAGCUGCAAAGUUUCAAAAUAAAACAUCUAAAAA